AGGGUGUACGGCCACAUUGGGUCUGAGACACGGCCCAGACUCCUACGGGAGGCAGCAGCUAAGAAUAUUCCGCAAUGGGAGAUAUCCUGACGGAGCGACGCCGCGUGGACGAAGAAGGCAGAAAUGUUGUAAAGUCCUUUUAUACGGGAAGAAUAAGGCUAUCGAGAGAAACUUUAGCCGAUGACGGUACCGUAUGAAUAAGCCACGGCUAACUACGUGCCAGCAGCCGCGGUAAUACGUAGGUGGCAAGCGUUGUUCGGAAUUAUUGGGCGUAAAGGGCAUGUAGGCGGUUAGAUAAGUGUGGAUUGAAAGACCAUGGCUUAACCAUGAGUUUGGUCUGCAAACUGUCUGGCUAGAGUGCAGUAGGGGUAACUGGAAUUCCGCGUGUAGGGGUGAAAUCUGUAGAUAUGCGGAAGAAUACUUGUGGCGAAGGCGAGUUACUGGACUGCUACUGACGCUGAAAUGCGAAAGUGUGGGGAGCAAACAGGAUUAGAUACCCUGGUAGUCCACACUGUAAACGUUGUACACUAGGUGUCAAGGGUAUCGACCCCUUUGGUGCCGAAGCUAACGCGAUAAGUGUACCGCCUGAGGAGUAUGCUCGCAAGGGUGAAACUCAAAGGAAUUGACGGGGGCCCGCACAAGCGGUGGAGUAUGUGGUUUAAUUCGAUAUACGCGAAAAACCUUACCAGGGUUUGACAUACACAUGACAGAUUCAGAGAUGAGUCCUUUUCUUCGGAAACAUGUGUACAGGUGCUGCAUGGCUGUCGUCAGCUCGUGUUGUGAGAUGUUGGGUUAAGUCCCGCAACGAGCGCAACCCUUACUGUUAGUUGCCAUCAGGUAAUGCUGGGAACUCUAACGGAACUGCCGGUGACAAACCGGAGGAAGGUGGGGAUGGCGUCAAGUCCUCAUGGCCCUUAUGUCCUGGGCUACACACGUACUACAAUGGGCUGUACAGAGGGUCGCAAUCUCGCAAGAGGGAGCCAAUCCCAAAAAGCAGUCCGUAGUUCAGAUUGGAGUCUGCAACUCGACUCCAUGAAGUCGGAAUCGCUAGUAAUCGCAGAUCAGCAUGCUGUGGUGAAUACGUUCCCGGGCCUUGUACACACCGCCCGUCACACCACCCGAGUUGAGGACACCCAAAGUUAUUACCCUAACCGUAAGGAGGGGGGUACCUAAGGUGUGCUUAGUGAGGGGGGUGAAGUCGAAACAAGGUA
rnacentral:rRNA from 1 species